rnacentral:rRNA from 1 species
UACAGAGGUCUCAACCGUUGUUCGGAUUCAUUGGGCGUAAAGGGUGCGUAGGCGGUCCAGUAAGUCGGGUGUGAAAGCCCUCGGCUCAACCGAGGAAGUGCAUUCGAAACUGCUGAACUUGAGUAUGGAAGAGGGUCGCGGAAUUCCCGGUGUAGAGGUGAAAUUCGUAGAUAUCGGGAGGAACACCAGUGGCGAAGGCGGCGACCUGGGCCAAUACUGACGCUGAGGUGCGAAAGCGUGGGGAGCAAACAGG